CUGCUGGGGCUCAUCUGUGUGAAGUCUGGGGCUGACUCUCACCACAGGAAAGACUGCCAGGGGAAAUGAGCACCUGUUAUUGCUCUUCAGCCCCACUCCACCCCUGGGCCCCCUUAGGGGGACCUUUCCUACACUCCCCACCCCUAAUCCUGACAGCUGGAGGUAGGAUCAAUCCUGAAUAGUCUCCGAAAAAAAGCCAGUUUCUGCCAGACCCGCCUUGCUCCCAGUGCCACACACCCAGCCCUGAAGUGCUGUCCGCGAUAGGAGAGCAUCCCGGGACGUUGGCUGCCUACCUCGCCAUUGGCCUUGGAGGACCUGCGUGCCCCACUAAGUGCUGGCAGAGAAUGUUGGCCGACUUGGGAAAAGCUCUUCUGUUGCCUCCACACAGCCUCAGCAUGUCUCUGUCCAGAAGCCCUUGGUCCACAAAGCAGAUCUGGAUCAAGGGCUCACUCCACCAGUUACCGA
ensembl:processed_transcript Gm16938 predicted gene, 16938